rnacentral:rRNA from 1 species
UCUUCCGCAAUGGACGAAAGUCUGACGGAGCAACGCCGCGUGAGUGAUGAAGGUUUUCGGAUCGUAAAACUCUGUUGUUAGGGAAGAACAAGUACCGUUCGAAUAGGGCGGCACCUUGACGGUACCUAACCAGAAAGCCACGGCUAACUACGUGUCAGCAGCCGCGGUAAUACGCAGGCGGCAAGCGUUGCCCGGAAUUAUUGGGCGUAAAGCGCGCGCAGGCGGUUUCUUAAGUCUGAUGUGAAAGCCCCCGGCUCAACCGGGGUGGGUCAUUGGAAACUGGGGAACUUGAGUGCAGAAGAGGAGAGUGGAAUUCCACGUGAAGCGGUGAAAUGCGUAGAGAUGUGGAGGAACACCAGUGGCGAAGGCGACUCUCCGGUCUGUAACUGACGCUGAGGCGCGAAAGCGUGGGGAGCGAACAG